CACGUAGUUAGCCGGUGCUUAUUCUUCAGGUACCGUCAUUAGCCGAGGGUAUUAUCCCCAGCCGUUUCUUCCCUGACAAAAGAGCUUUACAACCCGAAGGCCUUCUUCACUCACGCGGCAUUGCUGGAUCAGGCUUGCGCCCAUUGUCCAAAAUUCCCCACUGCUGCCUCCCGUAGGAGUCUGGACCGUGUCUCAGUUCCAGUGUGGCUGGUCGUCCUCUCAGACCAGCUACUGAUCGUCGCCUUGGUGAGCCUUUACCUCACCAACUAGCUAAUCAGAUAUCGGCCGCUCCAGGAGCAUGAGGUUCUUGCGAAUCCCCCAUUUCAUCCAUAGAUCGUAUGCGGUAUUAGCGUAACUUUCGCUACGUUACUCCCCACUCUUGGGUACGUUCCGAUAUUAUUACUCACCCGUUCGCCCACUCCGCCGCCAGGUUGCCCCGCGCUGCCGUUCGACUUGCAUGUGUAAAGCAUCGCCGCCAGCGUUACAAUCUGACG
rnacentral:rRNA from 1 species